CCCGGCCCCCCGAUCCUGGAGCCGCUGACCCGCCGAGUGACCUCGGGCCAGUCACGGCACCUCUCCGCGCCUCGCCUUCCCGCUCUGCAAAGUGGGGGCAAUGUUAUUUGGCCGACUCAAUGGGACUGCUUGUAAAGCUCUCGGCACGGGGCCUGGCAUCCAGUAGGCGCUCCAGAACCGCGGCUAUUUUUAUUAUUAAUUAAGGAGUAACGAAGGUGACAGCUGUGUAAACUGUAAAGCGCUGCGCCUGAACGAACGGGUAUUAUUAGCACCCGCCCCCGCCCCAGCUACUCCCUCCAAGACAACAAACUUGAGCCUUUGUGGGCGGGACGCCGAACCGGGAGCUCCCCUUAUCGGGUACGUUCAGACACCCCCGCUCAGACGCCCGCCCUUGGCGGGAGGGUGGGGGGAACACGGUCGCCGGAAAGGGGGCGGGGCCCAUGGAGGGUCUGGCCCGCCCCUUCCCCCCAAAAAAGACCUAGCCGGUGGCAGCGUCUCCCGGGAGUCCGCUUCCUGCCCCGCCCCUCCGCCCCUUGGCUCCUUAAAGGCGCAGGCCUCCAUCCUGGCUCCCACUGCUGCCAACUCCUGAGCCACCGUCGGCCGAUCCCCUUUAACCUGGGAGAGAACUUUCACUUUGCUCAAUUGAACCUGUGCCUGGGUCAGUCCCUACAAGCUCCUUCCUCUAUUUCCAAUAAGCACUGGUUUAACCCAGCUGGACCAAAGCUUGGGCUACGGAAUGGGCUCUGUGGGGGCUUUCCCGACUAGGUAAAUAUAGUGACUAAGAGACACCCCCCCACACACACCCAACAGUGUCUCUAGACCCCUCCAGGAACUCCAUAAGUCAUCCUCCAAACUGCCCGACUUUUCCCGUCACUCAGCUCUAGAAAUGAGGGAAGAAAAAAAGGAGACAUGGAGUCUCAAUAGAGUUGAAACCAACUGGCAUCCGCUUGUAUAGAGUGAGUGAAUGUGCAGCAAUCGUGCCCCUGGGUCACAGGCGUAAGAGCCCUUGUCCUCUACUCUGACGCCUCAUGGACUGGCACGUGAUGAAGAUCCUGGGAUGCGUCCACCUCUUGGUAUUAUGAAGAAUGCUAUUACGAACAUGGAUGCACAAAUAUCUUUUGAGGCCCUUGCUUUCAAUUCUUUCAUAUAUACAGAUAUGGACGAGCUGGAUCAUAUGGCUCCUCUCUGGACGUGCUUCCUGAUCUGUGUAACGCGGAAACCCAACAACCAAGGAGCUGAGGUGCUGGCAUUGUACUGGCGACACUGGGCACACAGGAUGUGGUAAGCCAGUAGUUGCCCGCAUUAGUGCAAACUCAAAGUCUCUCAGGUGGCCUUCCUGCCUCCACCAUGGAAAGGGUUUGAUGCUUCUAUCUCUCGCUGCCCUCUUCCUGAGUCAGCACCUCCCCACCUCGGAUCACCCCUCUGCCCACCUGCUCAUGCAGCUCGUCUUCUGGGCUUGGCUUUUCCUUGUGGUGCUUGGCAUCCAUACAGACAUUGAGAAGCUCAGUCCUGGGCCGGGCUGCCCACACUGCGGCCACCCCCGCCAGAAGGAGCAGCAACUCUGUUGUCACCAGCUGGGCCAUGUCAGUGUCUGAAGGAAGACCUGUGGUCAGUGGCACCAAGAAAAGCAGAGGUGGGGCCUCCAGGUCAGAUUUUGACACCAAAUGACUUUGUGCAAACUUUGACAAUAACCUCAGUUUUGGAGCUCCAGAUAAGCCGCAGACCUAAGUUUAAAACAAGACAACAAAACCCAGCCCCAGUUCCAGCCCUUCCCAGCCUCAUCAUUUGGCCUCUCCCGGAGAUCCUGCGCCUCGGGGAAUGUCCCAGGGCACAGAGGGCUGUGGGCAGCCAGCUGGACAGCCUCCGGGGCCUUGGGGAGGUUCCUGCCCCCGACCACAGAGCUGGCCUCCCUUUGGCCUUCGUAGCACCUGAAUCCUCUGAAUUCAGGCACUGAACCUUGGGAGGGAACUGACCGUUCCUUCACCCCACCGGUCACCAGGCGCCUGGGCUCUCCUAAAGUUUAGCAUUCGUUUCCCAUGGCUCCCAAAGCGCACACGCCCCUCUGCUCAAAGUUGCCUUGUCUCCACACUGCCUUGCCCUCCCCGCCCUGUCCUGUGGAGCUCAGGCAGCUUCCUUGGCCUCCUGGACGGGACCUGAGCUGGGUGGCCUCCAGGCUGACUGCCUGGCAGGGCUUGGGAAACCUGGAAUUGAAUUCCCACCUCCCCUCUCCUCCUCGCCCCUCACCUUUCCACAAUCCAAUAUUCUGCUGCUCUA